rnacentral:rRNA from 1 species
AUGGAAUGGCCGCCGCCCCACAGGCUCCUUCUUCUGUUCCUGCUUGCCUUCUCUUGGCGGCUUGGAGGAGGUGCAGGGAUUGGGUGCUUUGGAGUUGGAGCUGAGGAGUUGAGCAGCAAUGGAGCUUCUUUUAGUCGUAGAAGAUUGCUGCAGAUUGGUGGUGAAAACCAAGGUGCCGGGUAUCUUUUCUCACAUACACAAGCUCCAACAUCAGGACCAGUGUCUGCUCCAUCACCCUCAGCAUUCAUAUCAUCACCACCAGAAGGUGCACCAUCACCAUUUUAUUCACGACCGACACCACAGCGAUCCCCUUUACGCCAUGAUCCAUCAAUAUUCCCUCCACAUCCGCUUAAGUUUAAGCCUGCAGCUGGGGGAGCUGGGCAUGAUCAUUCGGUUCAAACUCCAUCUCAUAAGCAUUCCUGGACAACCUAUGGUUUAGUUGCAGCAGGGGUUGCUGCUUUCCUUAUCAUAUCAGCAGCUGGUGCUCUGUACUGCCGAGCUAAAAAAGUGGGGACUGUGAAACCUUGGGUGACAGGGCUUAGCGGACAAUUGCAAAAAGCUUUUGUAACAGGUGUACCUGCACUGAAAAGAUCAGAGCUGGAAUCAGCGAGCGAGGAUUUCAGCAAUAUAAUCGGUUCCACAUCUAGCUGCAUGAUGUACAAGGGAACUUUAUCGAGUGGAGUUGAAAUUGCAGUUGCGUCGAGUUUGGUAACGUCUGCAAAGGAUUGGUCCAAAGAAUGUGAAUCACAGUACAGGAAAAAGAUCACAACUUUGUCCAAAGUAAACCACAGGAAUUUUAUGAACUUGCUUGGCUACUGUGAGGAAGGGUAUCCUUUUACCAGAGCCAUGGUAUUUGAAUACGCUCCGAAUGGGACGCUUUUUGAGUAUCUGCAUGUGAGAGAAGCCGAGAAGCUGGACUGGGUGACGCGGCUGAGGAUAUGCAUGGGGAUCGCCUACUGCCUGGAGCACAUGCACCAGCUGAACCCACCCGUGGUGCCGAGGAGCUUGGACUCGACGACCAUAUACCUCACCGACGAUUUCGCCGCGAAGGUCUCAGACCUCGAAUUCCCAGACGACGGCGCCAAGGGAUCAUCACCUCGUUCAGCCACAUCAGACCUGGAAACCGCGGUGCACAGAUACGGCGUGGUGCUGCUGGAGAUACUGACGGGGAGGGUGGCCUGCUCCGGCGAGGACGGGCCGCUGGAGCUGUGGGCGUCCCGCUACCUGGACGGCGAGAUGCGGCUGGCGGAGCUGAUCGACCCCAGCAUCGGCUCCUUCUCCGAGGAGGCCGCGCGCGCGCUGUGCGAGGUGGCGAGGUCCUGCGUCGACCCGGACCCGAAGAGGAGGCCGGCGAUGGCGGAGGUGGCGGCCCGGCUGAGGGAGAUCACGGCGCUGGGACCCGACAGGGCCACCCCCAAGGUGUCGCCGCUGUGGUGGGCUGAGCUUGAGAUCAUGUCUUCUUCUGACAGCUGA